rnacentral:lncRNA from 1 species
UGACAAUGUGCGUGUGUUUAAGCUGGGCCUCUUCUCUGGCCUUUGGUGGACUCUGGCUCUCUUCUGCUGGAUCAGUGACCGAGCCUUCUGUGAGCUGCUGUCCUCCUUUCACUUUCCCUACCUGCACUGCGUGUGUGCUGGUCACCCUGAACGCAAGUGUUCUGCUGCUUCUCGCCCAGUUCUUCCAGCCCUUGACUGACGUCUGUUAGGAUGCCUCAGCCCGAAUGCUCACACACGCAGCAGGAAUUAAAGCUUUGCUAACCUGA